CUAUAAUAAUAAAGUUGCUGAGAAACUUUCCUCAGGCCUCCACCUCAGCACACCCUGCUCUAAAAUUCGCCAUGUGUCCAACAAAUCUUUAGUUUAUAAUUCUGUUUUCUCGAUGAAAGAAAGUGAUGGAUGGGCUUCUGUUUUGAUUGGGCCAAUAUCACAAAACUUAAUUGGCGGUUGAAGUUACGGUCCUAUUGAAUGGAGAUCCUUCGGUUUCUCUGCUAAGCUUUAUCGUCAUCUUCCUGCAUAUGAGACUUAUACUUUUGAUUAUCUAUCUUACACGAUACCCAGGACCUAGCCAAACUGAAGCUCACUGUAAUGGCGAUUUUCCAAAUCUAAGGAGGUUGUAGUCACUAGACUGCUUUGAUUCUAGGAGGCUCGCAUUCUGCAGAAAGGAGGCGAACUAAUUGUGGUAGACAUGGUGUUACUGGACGAGAAGUACAAAGUACCCUUGCAACACAUAGACUUAAUACUUUCAAGAAUAUACUGAAAGAAGGACAAGUGCACAAGCUUUGUGUGUUUUUAUGUUGCUAGAAACAACAGCCACUUCACCAAGAUGAGUUUGAUCACUUCGUAAGAAAUGUGUUCUGUGUGCGGAAAAAGAUGAGACUCAGGACCCAUGGAUUCUUCUUUGAACUGUUUCGAUUCUGUCCAUACGACCAGCUACUUACAAUGGCGAACACCAACAGACAACUCCAUGGUGAGGUCAGUGCAAUCAGGAGCACAAUCAACGACUGUACGCAGGGGACACACUGUGUAAUGCUAACUAUACGUUGAGAAAGGGAUGUGAACUUCUGUGUUAGUAUAUUUGACUCUUUGCCUCUUGCAUUUCAUAACAAAUUCGAAAGCUACGGGUCUGAGCCAAAAAUUGUGGUUGCCACCAGUAAAUCCGAAGAUAGUUGGAGGCCAGUUUCUGAACGCCACAUCUGGGACACAUAUAUACUUAUUAGACUCUGAGACAGCUAUUGGGAAAUAGCAGUUUGCAAGCAAAUUGUCUUUAUUCUAAUUAGAUAAACUCCACUUCGUGCACAUCAAGUAUAUUGGGCAUCUUUCUUCCUUCUUAUUUUGACUGCCGUCUGAACUUAUCCUCUUUCAGAUUAACAGGUGAUGGAACAGAGCAGACAGCAUCUUCAUCAAAGGUGGUUCAUGCCUAGAAAAUUUAACCACUCGCCGUUUCUGAGCUAAAUGAAUAUGUUAUCACUGCACACCCUCAGAUAAUUGAGUUUCUCUGCACAGCCAAAGUGACCGGUGUUCAGUUGGUGUUAUAUUGGCUGCUCCAAAUGUUCAAAGAAACUCCUGUAUGUUUUGUGAUAAGACCGAUGCUGAGGGUUGUCUGAGGUAGCGUGUGGAACUGUCGUUGUCAGACCACACAAAUAUUGUCUCAGGUCAAGUAACGGCUUGGGACAGCACUCCAGUUUUUUAAAAUAAAGGCCAAAUCAACUGACUGGAGACAAAUCUAAAAAGGACAGCCACAUUGCUAGGAAUAGCUAUCAAAAAGGUUGGCACAAGAUACAUAGAUUACUUUGUUUUAGUAAUCAAUAAUAGCUAUCAAAAAGGGUUCAUCCUCCCACGUUUCUUUAAACAAUAAGAACAAAUUCGUUUAGUACACAGCUUGGUUCAUAGAGUCAAAGCUUUGAUACAUAAAUUUCUUCAAACUGUUUCUCUUCAUUUAAUUACACUAUCACUUGAAACA